rnacentral:rRNA from 1 species
GUGUCCUACGGGGGGCAGCAGUGGGGAAUAUUGCACAAUGGGGGAAACCCUGAUGCAGCGACGCCGCGUGAGUGAAGAAGUAUUUCGGUAUGUAAAGCUCUAUCAGCAGGGAAGAAAAUGACGGUACCUGACUAAGAAGCCCCGGCUAACUACGUGCCAGCAGCCGCGGUAAUACGUAGGGGGCAAGCGUUAUCCGGAUUUACUGGGUGUAAAGGGAGCGUAGACGGGAGCGCAAGUCUGAAGUGAAAUCCCAUGGCUUAA